GUUUUAGUUUAUUUAUUU
rnacentral:sRNA from 1 species